AAGAUACUCCCUCUGUUUGGAAUUACUCGUCGCGGAAAUGGAUGUAUCUAGACGUAUUUUAGUUCUAGAUACAUCCAUUUUCGCGAAAAGUAAUUCCGAACGGAGGGAAUACUAG
rfam:Triticum aestivum genome assembly, contig: Triticum_aestivum_CS42_TGACv1_scaffold_361106_4DS